CUUACGGACGUGGGGGUUCAAGUCCCCCCCCUCGCACCA
rnacentral:tRNA from 1 species